rnacentral:rRNA from 1 species
CUGCUUGUCUCAAAGAUUAAGCAUGCAUGUCUAAGUAGAAGCUAUUUUUACACGGCGAGACCGCGGACGGGUCAUUAAAUCAGUCGUGGUCCAUAUGGGCCAGGGCUUCAUCCUACUUGGAUAACUGUGGUAAUUCCAGAGCUAAUACAUGCAACUUCUAUCCCGAUGAUGUUUGGCUUUGGCAUUGCGCUGACGGAUGCCUUUAUUAGACCAAACCGCCACGUGCGUGGUUCUCAAUCUCUAGACCUCUUCUUUGACUCGUGUGAUGGUGACUCUGGAUAACCUUUAUGACAAGCGCACGUACUUCUCGUCGGGACGGCGAUGCACUUUCGAUGUCUAGUUUCUGCCUUAUCAGCUAUCAACCGUUCGUUAUGCCCGACCGAUGGCUUUGACGGGUAACGGGGGAUCAGGGUGCGAGUCCGGAGAGGCAGCCUGAGAGACGGCUACCACGUCCAAGGACGGCAGCAGGCACGCAAAUUACCCAAUCCCAGCAGCUGGGGGAGGUAGUGACGAAAUCUAACGAUGCGGGCGCCCUUUCUGGGCCCCGCGCAAUGGGCACUUUCUAAACAACCUGUUGAGGAACCUACUGAAGG